rnacentral:pre_miRNA from 1 species
ACUUCAAGAUGUGCCAUUCAUGUAGCUAAAAUUAUGAUUGGCACCUCUUAGAGUGA